rnacentral:ncRNA from 10 species
GGUUUGAAUCUAGAGCAGGAUUAAAUUCCUCUCCAACCUGCCCUCUCCGGCAAGGUGGAAAAGUGAUUCGGUUAACCAACAAAUAAAGGAGUUAAA